AGAGUUUGAUCCUGGCUCAGAUUGAACGCUGGCGGCAUGCCUUACACAUGCAAGUCGAACGGCAGCGCGGGAGCAAUCCUGGCGGCGAGUGGCGAACGGGUGAGUAAUAUAUCGGAACGUGCCCAGUAGUGGGGGAUAGCCCGGCGAAAGCCGGAUUAAUACCGCAUACGACCUACGGGUGAAAGGGGGGGAUCGCAAGACCUCUCGCUAUUGGAGCGGCCGAUAUCAGAUUAGGUAGUUGGUGGGGUAAAGGCCUACCAAGCCUGCGAUCUGUAGUUGGUCUGAGAGGACGACCAGCCACACUGGGACUGAGACACGGCCCAGACUCCUACGGGAGGCAGCAGUGGGGAAUUUUGGACAAUGGGCGCAAGCCUGAUCCAGCAAUGCCGCGUGCAGGAAGAAGGCCUUCGGGUUGUAAACUGCUUUUGUCAGGGAAGAAAUCCUCUGGGUUAAUACCUCGGGGGGAUGACGGUACCUGAAGAAUAAGCACCGGCUAACUACGUGCCAGCAGCCGCGGUAAUACGUAGGGUGCGAGCGUUAAUCGGAAUUACUGGGCGUAAAGCGUGCGCAGGCGGUUGUGCAAGACAGGUGUGAAAUCCCCGGGCUUAACCUGUGAACUGCACUUGUGACUGCACGGCUAGAGUACGGUAGAGGUGGAUGGAAUUCCGCGUGUAGCAGUGAAAUGCGUAGAUAUGCUGAGGAACACCGAUGGCGAAGGCAAUCCCCUGGACCUGUACUGACGCUCAUGCACGAAAGCGUGGGGAGCAAACAGGAUUAGAUACCCUGCGUAGUCCACGCCCUAAACGAUGUCAACUGGUUGUUGGACGGCUUGCUGUUCAGUAACGAAGCUAACGCGUGAAGUUGACCGCCUGCGGAGUACGGUCCGCAAGCUGAGACUCAAAGGUAUUGACUGGGGACCCGCACAGCGCGGUAUGAUGUGGUCUAGUUCGAUGCUACGCUGAAAAAUCCUUACGUACG
rnacentral:rRNA from 1 species